AUUGAACGCUGGCGGCAGGCCUAACACAUGCAAGUCGGGCGCGCGGCGGAGGGGUGGGUAAUGUAUUGACAUCUGCCUGAUGUAGGGGGCUAACUACUGGAAACGGUAGCUACUACUGCAAACCAUCAGAUCAACCCAUAUGGGUUUAGCUAGUAGGUGAGGUAACGGCUCACAUAGGCGACGAUCCCUAGCUGGUCUGAGAGGCUGAUCAGCCACACUGGGACUGAGACACGGCCCAGCCUCCUACGGGAGGCAGCAGUGGGGAAUAUUGGACAAUGGGCGAAAGUCUGAUGCAGCCAUGCCGCGUGUAUGAAGAAGGCCUUCGGGUUGUAAAGCACUUUCAGUCGGGAGGCGGUACCGACCGAGGAAGCACCGGCUAACUCCGUGCCAGCAGCCGCGGUAAUAC
rnacentral:rRNA from 1 species